GAUGAACGCUAGCGGGAGGCUUAACACAUGCAAGUCGAGGGGCAUCACGAGGUAGCAAUACUUUGGUGGCGACCGGCGCACGGGUGAGUAACACGUAUGCAACCUACCCUGUACAGGGGGAUAACCCGGAGAAAUUCGGACUAAUAUUCCAUAAUGAUAUUUUAGGGCAUCCUUUAAUAUUUAAAGCUUUGGCGGUACAGGAUGGGCAUGCGCAACAUUAGCUAGUUGGGAGGGUAACGGCCUACCAAGGCUAUGAUGUUUAGGGGACCUGAGAGGGUGAUCCCCCAACUGGUACUGAGACACGGACCAGACUCCUACGGGAGGCAGCAGUCGAGAAUAGUCUACAAUGGUCGGAAGACUGAUAGUGCGACGCCGCGUGAACGAUGAAUCCCUUGGGGUUAAAGUUCUUUAAUGUGAGCAGUGCUUCUUAUAUUAACAGUAUGGGGGAAGAGGAUAUUAGCAAUAUGAAUAAGCAACGGCUAACUCCGUGCC
rnacentral:rRNA from 1 species